UACGAAGGGGGCUAGCGUUGCUCGGAAUUACUGGGCGUAAAGCGCACGUAGGCGGAUUGUUAAGUCGGGGGUGAAAUCCUGGAGCUCAACUCCAGAACUGCCUUUGAUACUGGCGAUCUUGAGUCCGGAAGAGGUGAGUGGAACUCCUAGUGUAGAGGUGGAAUUCGUAGAUAUUAGGAAGAACACCAGUGGCGAAGGCGGCUCACUGGUCCGGUACUGACGCUGAGGUGCGAAAGCGUGGGGAGCAAACAGG
rnacentral:rRNA from 1 species